rnacentral:sRNA from 1 species
AAAAGAAAUUUACCAGGAAACUCCGUCCACAUCCUUUUCCUCCCCGAGAACGGACGCUCAUACGACUCGAGGUCGACCCUGACGUAGAAGUAAUAUUCUUCCCAGUUCUUGAAGUUACUGAUUUUAGGACCGGGAAGAAAGUUAUGCUUUGGGCGGUUGUUCACCACCCAAUAGCCGGGCGACCUUAUAGCUUUCAACGUCGUCAUUUCUUCGAAACAACGGACGUUUACUAGGUAACCUUCUUCAGCACCGAAGGUCAGAGCGGCAACAAAAUUACAGAUCGCCGCCGGAGUAAGCUGGGAGAACGCCAUACGACGACGAUUCAGAAAGGAGAUGAUCAGAGAGGGAAUGUGAAACCAGGAGUGACAUUGUCUGAAGUAGGCUUCAUACAUGCAGACGUACCCUCGAGGGGGAUUCCACGGACGCUCAUUUUCUCCGGGAAUCAUGUAAGUGAGCGGGCGAUCUCCGGAGCCACACAAGGCAAAUACUUCCGCGACUGACUUAGUUGUUGAAAGGGUCUUUUCGCGGUGAUCUCGGUGUUUCAGCUAACCACUGAGUCGAGGUGAAGUUCGACAUGAUCCUCAUGAAGUAAUCUCGCAUUAACUUCGGCCUCUGUAUACUGUGGCUGCGUGUUAUAAGCAUCCUCCAGGUCGAUGAGCGGGUCGAACUGAGCCAAGAAAUCCGCCGGAUCUUCAGGAGCAGCGAGAUGUCCACCGGAACCUUCCCGAUAGGGCUCAUCAAACAACGUCGGGAUCUCGAUCCGGUUAGAUCGACUAGACUGAGCUUCGUCACUUGGAUUCCCGGUUAACCGAGAGUUUCGGCGAACUUAUGACGCUUCGCUCUCGGAGGAAGAAGAGGACGGAGAGACAAGAACAACCUUACCCAUUGCCGGAAAAAUCGAUAAAGAAUCGAGAGUACAAAAUAAUUCGCAGAGGAGAGAGCGAGAGCUACCUUUGAUUCUUCUUGCAAGCGGCGGAAAAUGAUUUCCCGAGGGUUUAAUCUAAUAUAAAUAGAGGCGAAUGGGCGGCAAACCUACGAGGUCAUCAUUAAACCUACGAGACGCUUCGGUUCCUGAGCUUCACGCGCGCGUACUGACGCAGCGAUUGGACACAUGUCAGAUACGUUCGAAAUACGAAUCGAUUCGGAAAUCUAAUGAUUAAUUCACGCUUUCCAAGAUUUAAAUC